GACGAACGCUGGCGGCGUGCUUAAAACAUGCAAGUCGAACGGAAAGGCCCUGCUUGCAGGGUGCUCGAGUGGCGAACGGGUGAGUAACACGUGGGUGAUCUGCCCCUUACUUUGGGAUAAGCCUGGGAAACUGGGUCUAAUACUGGAUAGGACCAUGCUGUAGGUGGUGUGGUGGAAAGAUUAGUUUCGGUAAGGGAUGAGCUCGCGGCCUAUCAGCUUGUUGGUGGGGUAAUGGCCUACCAAGGCGUCGACGGGUAGCCGGCCUGAGAGGGUGGACGGCCACAUUGGGACUGAGAUACGGCCCAGACUCCUACGGGAGGCAGCAGUGGGGAAUAUUGCACAAUGGGCGCAAGCCUGAUGCAGCGACGCCGCGUGGGGGAUGACGGCCUUCGGGUUGUAAACUCCUUUCAGCCAUGACGAAGCCCUUGUGGUGACGGUAGUGGUAGAAGAAGCACCGGCUAACUACGUG
rnacentral:rRNA from 1 species